rnacentral:rRNA from 1 species
AUGUAUGCAGGAUUCCCCCCAGGAGGAUAUGCUCAAUUCCAGGGGGUGAGUCAGUGGCCUAUGCAACAACAACAAAUCCCAUAUCAGUUCCCUUUGCAGCCAGGCAUGAUGCCAUACCAACAGCAGAUACCUUUCAACUCUGGGAGCUCGUCUGGUGGCAAUGUCCCAGCCAUACCCUCUGGAUCCAGCAAAAACAACAAGAAGAAAAAUCCCAAAGGGGGGGCUGGGAUCAACAAUGCUGAUCAGACUCAGAGCAACAGUGAUGUGGAGGGGAGUGCAUCUUAUAAUGUUGAUCCAAAGUUCAUUGGAGCCAUAUGCUAUAACUGUGGACUGCCUGGACACUUUGUGGGGAUGUGCUCUCUGCCCAGGAUCUGUUUCAUUUGUAAAACUGCUGGCCAUCAUAUGGAUGUGUGCCCCACCUAG